ACCAGCAAAAGGAGAUAUUGAAAUCACAUUACAACAAGUAUGAACUGUUGAAGACAGUGAUUGAAGACGGAAGUGCUAAACGUUUGGGACUACAAUAUGAGAUGCCCCUUUCAGAUGCAUGAUCGCCGGGUCUGUGUCAUGUUCUAUGUAUACAAUUUAGGGUGUAAGGAAACCUUGUAGUGAUUUGUUUAUUCCAAAAUCCCCUACAAAUUAUUUGGAUUUUCUCUUCUGACAAUUGACAUUCAGUGCAUGUUGCUUAUGUAUACAUUAGCUUCAUUUAACCAAAGUUUUUACCAUGUUUGUGGGAUGAAUCUCCAGCAGAGGCUAUGUAAACUCUUAUUAUAUGAGAGAAGUGAAAUUCAAGUCUCUAAUAGUCUCCUUGCAAAUGCUUUUGUACUAUGUUUCACUAAUUUGUUGUUUGUGUAGCAUCAAUUUUCCAGUUGGCACAGAACAAGGAGACAAUACACCUUUACUUUUGACUUGCAAACUUGUUGCAAAAGAAAGAGUUAAAACAUUUAGGACAAGUGCAUGUUGGUAAGCUCUGAAGUAGCGAUGAAGUAGCGGCCUAUAUGGCUCGACCUUUCUAGACUGAACUGCUCCCGGAAUGUCCCCAUACGCUUGCUAGGUUUAAUAUUUCUAUGAACCAAGUGCCUAACUCCAUGCAAGUGACUCAGUCCCUUCAAACAGAAAGAAAAGUUGUGAAAAUCAGGAUAACGAGUACUCUGAUCAUAAGGUGAAACUGAAACCGAAGAAACCACAUAUAAGCAAGAGUUUCUGCACCAUGAUGGAAAGAACCGGUUCUGGUAUAGUCUUGCGUUUACGAAGGAUAUCAGCCAAAGGUCCACCAUCCAUGUACUCCAAAGCUAUACUUAUCUGCCCAGAGUCUGGAGUAUAGAAAGAACCAUAAAAUCGGGCCGGACAUCCAUAGCAUGGCGCCUCAUACAAUGUCCUUAUCUCAGUAAGAAGCUGCUGUCUUUUCUCCUGAUAUGCCGAUGUCUUAGGGCACAAGCACCCCAUGUUUUAAUAAUUAGCGUCACUCCAAAAUACGUCAACAUGUGCUUAGCCCUUAAGCACGACGUUGCAGCUGUCCAAAGCAUAAGAAAAAAUGCGUGGAAUAGAGUUGGCCAAUGAGUGAUUGCCACAUGGCCAGCCAUAAAUUUUAUUUUUAAAUAAAAAAUAAUUUUAGUUAAAAACGGUCAUAUAUUCAAUUUUUA